UGCAACUGCAAUGUAAAAAAAGUUCAGAGAGGAGGAGUGGGGAACAGGCUGGGAAAAUAUCUUUUUUAAUAUCAUGGAUUAUCGUUGAGUGAAAUUAUACAAAAAGGAGGACAUAAAUUGCAUUUUGAAACGUGACGUUUAUUUGCAUUUUUUCACUUUUGACGUUUGUUUAGUCUGCAUCUGAUUAAGUUAAAUUAAGAAGCAACGAAAUCAUAGGAAAUCUAAAAUUGGCCGCGCUGUUGGUAACUACAUACGAUAAUGCGCCCUUCGCUUAGUUCGUAUCAUUCGCGUUCGAAUUGCUCUAAUUUUACAGACGUGCAGAGAAUAAUUUGCGAGCUAAAUCGUAGCUAGAAAUUCUUCCUAUUGAUAUUGUACACGUGACCAAUCAGGAUAUUGAAGUAACGAUGACGCUUUAAAAAUAUAAGAUUUAUUACAUAUGCUCAAAUCUUACAAAUAAGACUCCGUACAAUCGUUAUUAAAUGUAAUAUGAUAAGUAAACAAUGAUUUCCAAUAAAUUAGAAAACUUAUAAUUUUCGCUGUUAUCUAACUAUCACAGAUGCUUAUGGAUUUAACUCGAAACGACAGAGAAAGUGAUUAAAGUUAAAAA